GACGAACGCUGGCGGCGUGCCUAAUACAUGCAAGUCGAGCGAAGUUUUUCUGGUGCUUGCACUAGAAAAACUCAGCGGCGAACGGGUGAGUAACACGUAAAGAACCUGCCUCAUAGACUGGGACAACUAUUGGAAACGAUAGCUAAUACCGGAUAACAGUAUUUCUCGCAUGAGAGAUAUUUAAAAGUUGGUUAUGCUAACACUAUGAGAUGCCUUUGCGGUGCAUUAGCUAGUUGGUGGGGUAAAGGCCCACCAAGGCGACGAUGCAUAGCCGACCUGAGAGGGUGAUCGGCCUACACUGGGACUGAGACACGGCCCAGACUCCUACGGGAGGCAGCAGUAGGGAAUCUUCCGCAAUGGGCGAAAGCCUGACGGAGCAACGCCGCGUGAGUGAAGAAGGAUUUCGGUUCGUAAAGCUCUGUUGUUAGGGAAGAAUGGAC
rnacentral:rRNA from 1 species